rnacentral:rRNA from 1 species
GACGAACGCUGGCGGCGUGCCUAAUACAUGCAAGUAGAACGCUGAAGAGAGGAGCUUGCUCUUCUUGGAUGAGUUGCGAACGGGUGAGUAACGCGUAGGUAACCUGCCUUGUAGCGGGGGAUAACUAUUGGAAACGAUAGCUAAUACCGCAUAACAAUGGAUGACACAUGUCAUUUAUUUGAAAGGGGCAAUUGUUCCACUACAAGAUGGACCUGCGUUGUAUUAGCUAGUAGGUGAGGUAAUGGCUCACCUAGGCGACGAUACAUAGCCGACCUGAGAGGGUGAUCGGCCACACUGGGACUGAGACACGGCCCAGACUCCUACGGGGGGCAGCAGUAGGGAAUCUUCGGCAAUGGGGGCAACCCUGACCGAGCAACGCCGCGUGAGUGAAGAAGGUUUUCGGAUCGUAAAGCUCUGUUGUAAGUCAAGAACGGGUGUGAGAGUGGAAAGUUCACACUGUGACGGUAGCUUACCAGAAAGGGACGGCUAACUACGUG